UACAUGGGGUGCAAACGUUGCUCGGAAUUAUUGGGCGUAAAGCGCACGUAGGCGGUUUGUUAAGUCGGAUGUGAAAUCCCUCGGCUCAACUGAGGAAGUGCAUCCGAAACUGGCAGGCUUGAGUACUAAAGAGGGUCGCGGAAUUCUCGGUGUAGCGGUGAAAUGCGUAGAUAUCGAGAGGAACACCUGCGGCGAAGGCGGGUAGCUGGGCCGACACUGACGCUGAUGCGCGAAAGCCAGGGGAGCGAACGGG
rnacentral:rRNA from 1 species